CUGUUGCUCUCCCCAUUCGUUCCUGUUUUGUGUGGUUGUGUUCCAGGAACCCACUUCCAAUUAAUUGGGACUUUGGUUUUCCUUAUUGGACCUAUACUAAAAGUGGCCAAAUUCCUAUUUUAGUUAGAAACCGGUCAUUGGAGCUCAGGAAGAACGGUCCAUCGAACGGGACGUAUAAACUACGGUUGAGGUACGAAGAAGAUCAUGGGAUGCCUUAGAGUGAGGAUGCAACCACCAAAUUCACGAUCGAUGUUUAGUAAAGAUAACUAUGUCAUUAGCAAUAAAGGGAUGUAUUAUUUAAAGUCUAAGUUUGAUUUCAUGAUUUGAGUUAGAUUUUAAUAUUAAUGUUUAAUCAGAUGUUAAAAGUAUUUAUUAUUAAAGUUUAUUUAGUAAUUUAAAAAGGUUAUGUCGCCUUGUAUUUCCCACGAGGGAAAUAGGCAUGUG